GUGCGCCCGGCAGGUCCGACGUGAGCACCAGGUGCGCCCGGCAGGUCCGACGUGAGCACCAGGUGUGCCCGGCAGGUCCGGGCCGGGCCGGGGGCGGUGCUGGAGAGGACGCCCCCGCACCCCUGAGAGAUCGCCUCUGCUGCGAGGGCUGAGGCACAAGCGGUCAGGACGGGGCCUUUCUUUCCCCCGAUUUUACAACGCCCAUCUCCUCUUUUCCCUACACUACAGUAAGGGGGGAAAAUUAACUAAGGGCUUACUUUUUAAUUAAAUGCAGUACCACUUAGGAAGAUGUAUGCUAAUCUGAGGCCAGAUCUGCCGCCCUCAGCUGCACAAGACGCUGGCCCCAGCAGAGGCUGUAAAGCUCUCGAUAAGAGAGGCCGGGAGCAAGGUGCAGGUCCCCCAGCGAUAACCUCCUGACUCCGAUAUUAUAGGUCUCUCGGCUGGAAUUGAGUUCUACAUCUUACUCGAUGGGCUGUUGUCACAGAUGAGUAAUGAACGCACCCUGCCCGCGUCCCAGGGUGCAGGACGCGGCCGGCCAGGCCACCCGGAGGCCCAGCUGCGGGCGGCGGGGCGGGCGGCGCGGCCAAGGCGGUUAAAGGCGCAGCCACCGCGGCGAGAGCGCGCGCCCUGCGGGGGGCGGGGGUGUCCUGGGGGCCCGGCCCGGAGCCGGUGCAUUAAUCACGCGGCUCCCCCGGCUAAGGGGCAGAGCCCGGGGAGCAGCCCCGACCCCGGAACAAAGGCAGAACGUGAUGAAGGGCGCACCUCUGCCAAUGCGGGCUUUGCAGAGGGGCUGGGAAAUGAAUGGCCCUUACCUCCGCGGCCAGUUCUAAAAUUCUGCAUAUCUAAACAGGCUCCCCUCAUCACCCAGCCCAGAAAACUGUGAUCGCCAUUGACAUAAACUGUAGAUGCCAUCAAGAGAAGCUAAGGGGCGCAUCUCGUGAACCACUUUGAGCCGAGUAUGCAUAAAUCUCGUAGGCCAGUGUGUGUUCAGACGUGUGCAUGUCACACGUGCUGCCUUGUGCUCUCCCUUCUCUCGCAGCCGGUAGCUGCUCUCUCCGCAGAAGACAAGGUGAUGGCAGAGACCUCUGGGCAUUCCCUCUACGCCUUUCCGUUGCCAGCAAACAUUUCACCUCUACACUGCCAUCUGUCUUUGCGAUUUAAGGAUGAGGAACUAAAAAGAAGGAGGUAGAAACAACUUGGCCUCUCCAGUCAUUUUGUUUGAAAGAUCAAUCAGUUCCCUAUGAGAAAUUUUCUGGGAUAGGAACCAAAGUAGCUGACAUCCAAAAGCAGCAUCUCCACUACGGGCUCUAACGGCGAUGCUCCAUUAGCUGUCAGCAGUAAUCACACUUACAUCCUCUUUCCAGGCCUCCAGCUAUGAGGGGACGCCGUUACACUCUCCCUGUCUAGUUGCAAAGCGCUCGACGACAAACACACAAACAGACCAGGCUGAGUGGUGCUGUGAGCUUGUCCCUGGCACGGGGGCGUCUCCAGCAGGUGUACACUGGCUCACCUGCGCAGCACUUGGCACAGGCCAUCUGGACCCACAAUCGGGCACCCCCAUGAGGAAUUUGUGUCCAUCUAGAUCUGAACUACAUCCCCCCACCCCCACCCCAGGCCAGCAAGCACUGCUGCAGCUGCAGGACCUCCCAAUUACAUAAUGGCAGGGGGACCUGCUACCUCUGUCUCUGUUUAGGAGGCCAGCCAGGAUUCUGCAGGAAGGCUGCUCUGCCCUCGCCUUUUUAAGGAAUGCACUGGUUUAAAAAAAGAAAAUACACAUACAUAAGCACACAAGGUUAGAGUCUGAUGCUUUUUGCUUCUCGCCUUUAAAUAUUUCAGUGACCUAGCAAAGUAUUCAUUCAUAAUGAACCCCCUCAAGGAAGCACAGAAAAGCUCAGAACAUAUUGGGUUAACUAUUUUUCCUCAGGCUUUUGAUUUAUGGAAUGUAUCUCCACUCGUCAUUUUCAAAUGAGAGUGGCUAUGGCUUUGCACUGAGCCUUGAGCAUUAACUCCUUAUUAAAAAGGACUUCCAGGUACCCCUGGGCUCAAGGAGGGCCUCAGGCCAGGGUAAUUAAAACGUAGCCUUGAACAACAUGGCCAUAUAAUAUGUGGCCCCAUGAUGAGAGAUUAUCAAUUUAUUUUAAUUACAGAAAAAAGGUGCACACAUCUAAAAUAAUAAAUUGCC
rnacentral:lncRNA from 12 species